AUUGAACGCUGGCGGCAGGCCUAACACAUGCAAGUCGAACGAGUGGCGGACGGGUGAGUAAUGUCUGGGACAGCCCGAGGUAGGGGGGUAAAACUACUAGAAGCGGUCUAUAACAGCGUAAACCAUCAUAUGUGCUCAGAUGGGAUUAGCGUGGUGGUGGGGUAACGGCUCAACAAGGCGACGCCCCCUAGCUGGUGCGAGAGGAUGACCAGCCACACUGGAACUGAGACACGGUCCAGACUCCUACGGGAGGCAGCAGUGGGGAAUAUUGCACAAUGGGGGCAAGCCUGAUGCAGCCAUGCCGCGUGUAUGAAGAAGGCCUUCGGGUUGUAAAGUACUUUCAGCGGGGAGGCGUUACCCGCAGAAGAAGCACCGGCUAACUCCGUGCCAGCCGCCGCGGUAAUUC
rnacentral:rRNA from 1 species